rnacentral:tRNA from 1 species
GGGAGUGUAGCUCAGUGCCAGAGCACUUGCUUAGUAUGUGUGAGGCCCUGGGUUCGAUUCCCAGCACCA